rnacentral:rRNA from 1 species
CCUACGGGUGGCUGCAGUGGGGAAUAUUGGGCAAUGGGCGCAAGCCUGACCCAGCCAUGCCGCGUGAGUGAUGAAGGCCUUCGGGUCGUAAAGCUCUGUGGGGAGGGAAGAAAAUACCUUGGCUAAUAUCCAAGGGAACUGACGGUACCUCCUUAGCAAGCACCGGCUAACUCCGUGCCAGCAGCCGCGGUAAUACGGAGGGUGCAAACGUUGCUCGGAAUCAUUGGGCGUAAAGCGCACGUAGGCGGUUCGUUAAGUCGGAUGUGAAAGCCCUG